AGAGUUUGAUCCUGGCUCAGAUUGAACGCUCGCGGCGUGCUUACACAUGCAAGUCGAACGAUGAACCUAGCUUGCUAGGGGAUUAGUGGCGCACGGGUGAGUAAUAUAUAGAUAACGUGCCUCUUAGUCUGGGAUAGCCAUUGGAAACGAUGAUUAAUACUAGAUACUCCUUCUCUUUAUAAUGAGAGUCGGGAAAGUUUUUCGCUAAGGGAUCGGUCUAUAUCCCAUCAGCUUGUUGGUAGUGUAAGAGACUACCAAGGCUAUGACGGGUAGCGGGUUUGAGAGGAUGAGCCACACUGGUACUGAGACACGGACCAGACUCCCUACGGGAGGCAGCAGUGAGGAAUAUUGCACAAUGGAGGAAACUCUGAUGCAGCAACGCCAGCGUGGAGGAUGACGCAUUUCGGUGUGUAAACUCCUUUUAUGAAGUCAAGAAAAUGACGGUAGCUCAUGAAUAAGCACCGGCUAACUCCGUGCCAGCAGCCGCGGUAAUACGGAGGGUGCAAGCCGUUAUCCGGAAUCACUGCGUAAAGGACGCGUAGGCGGGAAGCCAAGUCUGAUGUGAAAUCCUAUGGCUUAACCAUAGAACUGCAUUGGAAACUGGUUACCUAGAGUAUGGGAGGGGGAGAUGGAAUUAGUGGUGUAGGGGUAAAAUCCGUAGAUAUCACUAGGAAUACCGAAAGCGAAGGCGAUCUCCUGGAACAAUACUGACGCUAAGGCGUGAAAGCGUGGGGAGCAAACGGGAUUAGAUACCCCGGUAGUCCACGCCCUAAACGAUGUUCACUAGUCGUCGGGAUGCAGUCAUCUCGGUGAUCACUUACAGAUAGGACCGCCU
rnacentral:rRNA from 1 species